rnacentral:rRNA from 1 species
UACGUAGGGUCCGAGCGUUUGUCCGGAAUUACUGGGCGUAAAGAGCUCGUAGGUGGUUUGUCGCGUUGUUCGUGAAAACUCACAGCUUAACUGUGGGCGUGCGGGCGAUACGGGCAGACUUGAGUACUGCAGGGGAGACUGGAAUUCCUGGUGUAGCGGUGGAAUGCGCAGAUAUCAGGAGGAACACCGGUGGCGAAGGCGGGUCUCUGGGCAGUAACUGACGCUGAGGAGCGAAAGCGUGGGGAGCAAACAGG